rnacentral:rRNA from 1 species
GUGGGGAAUCUUCCGCAAUGGACGAAAGUCUGACGGAGCAACGCCGCGUGAGUGAUGAAGGUCUUCGGAUUGUAAAGCUCUGUUAAUCGGGACGAAAGAGCCUAGUGUGAAUAAUGCUAGGAAGUGACGGUACCGGAAUAGAAAGCCACGGCUAACUACGUGCCAGCAGCCGCGGUAAUACGUAGGUGGCAAGCGUUGUCCGGAAUUAUUGGGCGUAAAGCGCGCGCAGGCGGAUCUGCCAGUCUGUCUUAAAAGUUCGGGGCUUAACCCCGUGAUGGGAUGGAAACUACAGAUCUAGAGUAUCGGAGAGGAAAGUUGAAUUCCUAGUGUAGCGGUGAAAUGCGUAGAUAUUAGGAAGAACACCAGUGGCGAAGGCGACUUUCUGGACGAAAACUGACGCUGAGGCGCGAAAGCCAGGGGAGCGAACGGGAUUAGAAACCCCAGUAGUCC